AAGUCGUAACAAGGUUUCCGUAGGUGAACCUGCGGAAGGAUCAUUAACACAAUUUUACUGUGAUAAAAUCCAUUGGAAUUUUCGAAUUCGAAUGGUAUCCACCCCAUUAUUGACGAACUUUUUUGUCUAGAUGUUUUAAGAAACAUAGAGCUCGUCUUUGCGUUUUUCAAAACAUUCUAAACAACCUUUUUUUAUACCCCAUCACAUUUUUUAACCCCUUUUACAACAUGCCUUAGACUGAAAUGAAAAUUUCUUUAUUAUCAAAACAAUGAUAAAAAAAACAACUUUUAACAACGGAUAUCUUGGCUCUC
rnacentral:misc_RNA from 1 species